UUCGUUCUAGAAUUAAAGGCUGGUGGGUGUCACAUCACUACGUCUCAACCUUUUUAUCAGGUGUUAUGUUGACAUGGCCAGAAGGUCAAAUGUAUCAGAUGUUCAGAAGUCAGUUCCUGGCUUUCUCCAUCUAUCAGAGUUGUGUGCAGUUUCUUCAGUAUUAUUAUCAGAGCGGCUGCUUGUAUCGGUUACGGGCUCUGGGGGAAAGAAACCAGCUGGACCUGACAGUGGAGGGCUUUCAAUCAUGGAUGUGGAGGGGGCUUACAUUUCUCCUUCC